CCUCUUCAUGAGCAUCAGGUCAUCUUAUAUCUUCUUGUAGGUCUUGGUCCCGACUAUGAUCCUUUUGUCACCUUUGUUACAGCCAAAGUUGAUCCACUAUCCUUAGAUGAUAUUUAUGGCCACCUCCUUAGCCAAGA